rnacentral:rRNA from 1 species
UACGUAAGGGGCAAGCGUUGUCCGGAAUCAUUGGGCGUAAAGAGCGUGUAGGCGGCCAGGUAGGUCGGUUGUGAAAGCUGGAGGCUCAACCUUCAGAGGUCGACCGAAACCAUCUGGCUAGAGUCCGGGAGAGGAGAGUGGAAUUCCUGGUGUAGCGGUGAAAUGCGCAGAUAUCAGGAAGAACACCCGUGGCGAAAGCGGCUCUCUGGAACGGUACUGACGCUGAGACGCGAAAGCGUGGGGAGCGAACAGG